UUUAAUUAUUUUAAAAUUUGUGUUUAAAAAAUUAAUGUUUUCCAAAUGGUCAGAGAAAAGCAACAGCCGCGUCGUGCUAGUGUUGACACCAAAGAUGGUAUGUACAAGCAAUCUAUUUUUACUAUUUUACAUGACUUUACAAAAUUAGUUGGUAAGUUUUAAAAACAAUUUAAAAUGAAGGUUUUCAAAAAAAAAAAAAAAAAAACUCCAAAUGUUUUCCAAAACGAAAAUGUUAAUAAAAAUUUAAAUUUACAAUUUAUUUUCAUAUAUUUUGAUAAAAGAUAUUCCAAGAUCCUAAGGAUCUGUUUUAAAAAAUGACUGUAGAGUUGAUCUUGUAAAAGUGUGUUAAAAUCUGCUUAGAUUAGGAACAUUCUCAAAUGUUAACUGAAAACUUUGUAAAAGCAUAUUGCAGGUCUUUUGUUAUGAAAUUUUAUAUCGAUAUUAGGCCCCCAAUUUUUAUCCUUUCAGUCGUUGUUUAGGUUGAUUUUUCGGAUUAUUUUAAUUCAUAGUUUUAGCUUGAUCGAAAUUAGUUUAGUUCGAUCAAUUAUUUAAAGAUUAUAAUUGAAAGGGAUUUUAUAUUUGAUGGUUGUGUAGAUUAAAUACAUUCUGCGAUCUUUUGAGAAAAUCAUAUUGAUCGUGCAAUUCUAAAACUUCAAUUUCGUCACAUUAGAAACUGUCGAAUAAUUUCUAUAAAGUAAGGUUAGAAAUGGCUAUACAGUUUUGAACUUUCCGGAUUAAGUCACAAACUACAUAAAUUUAUUUGAUAAUUUUGUUAUGCAGUAACAAGCUUUUCUCAUUAAAUUGUUAACUUAAAAAGCACGUGCAAUUGAGUUGAGUUAUUUCAGUUAUAAGUUUUUUGUUAAACAAAUUUGCAUUAUUAAUGAGCAUCAACGAAAACUGAAAUUUGCCGCAAAUCGAAUGUUGCGAUCGCAUCGAUUAUUAGCAAAAAUAUUGUACAUAUGUAAACAAUCUGAACGAUAAACGUUCAUUGUAUUGGGAAAACCUAAGAUCAUGGGAACACAUUCGGGCUGAUAACUCAAAUAGUAAAAGACAAUAAGCGCAAAAAUUAAUACGAAAACAUCGUCCUGGGUACCGUGAAAGUGAAAAGAACGUUGUUCGAAAAUCAUAAAAAUAACACUUAAAUAUUGAGAUCAAUAUGAAAUCUCUAACCAAAAUGAAAUACUUUCAAAUCAAAAUGUAACCCAACUCAAAAAAACUAUUUUGAAGAAAUUUACAAGAAUUCAUUGGACUGCUUACUACCAGGAGUAAAGCUUUUUUUUUUAGGUCCCUUUAUAAUGUCUGUAAAGAAUCGAGAGAAGGAGCAAGAAGGGAGAAAUAGUAAGAAUAGAAGAAUCGGGGGUCUAUUAAGAGCCGAGCAAUUACACACAUAAUGAGUAAUUGUCUCCUUCUCCUCUUUGAUUUGACAGGUCAUACAGAAGUCACUGUAUGAAAUACCAAUGCGACUUGAAUGAUUUCCAAACUUGGAAUGUCUAGUAAGAACUGAUAACAGAGCACUCAAAAGAGAUCCGCUAAGCCCCUAAUAUAUAAUAUGUUCUAUAAGGAUCCAUAUUAGGUCAUAGCAAUUGAGCAUGUAUGCUGCUGAGACCUGAUUUAAAACAAGAGUUGUGUAUUUGUUUCUUAAAAGCCGCUAAUGGUGACGCCACAGAACUGGUUUAUAUUCAGUACGGCCAACCUUGUAUUAGCAUUUGGUAAGAUAUCAGAUAUCAGAAAUAGCUUUCUGAACUGUUUUUUUUUACUAAGACCUAUAGGUGAAAAGUUACAGACAUAAAACCCUCUAUGUCCAAAAAUGUCCAACUUUGACCCCUUCUGACUCCCGCAGUUCUUGAACGAUAAAGCUGAAAAUGUGUGUUCAACCUACUAUCCUUUAGUACUUAUCUUGGUGCAAAUUUCAGAAUCGGACAUCAAUUUUUAAAAUUGGUUCACUUGACACGAAAUUCCCCAUAUCUUUAACUCUUUAGCAGAUCCUCACAAUCACUUUGAUCUUUUUAUAAAUAUUUGAAACAUUUUCUAAUUGGUCUUAUCUCAUUGAAAACUUCUUAAUUUUUCUAAUUACAUUAAGUUGUGUAAAUGAUUUCAUCUUCAUUUAAUUUGAAUUUAAUAAAAUUGUGAAAUUUUUAAAUUAGAAAAAAAAAUAGUUUUGCAUUUUAGCAGCAACAAUAUAAUGACAGACAGAAAGAUAAACAAUUCAAUUACAAUGUAUUAUUGAUAUCAUACUUCUUGUUUGUAGUUGGAAAUUUUUCUAGAAUUGUCGCACAUCGACUUUUCUAACAAAAUAAACAGAGAAAAAUGCAAAUGAACACACUCACUUAAACAUACAAUCAUCGAGAUAUAUAAAUAUAGUUAAACAAUUUUUAAAAUAAUUUUUACAUGUCAAGUUAUUGAGCCAAAAGCUCUGGAUUAGAAAUUAAAUGAACUUAAUGUUAUAGAAUUUUAGGCGCUUUCGUGACUUUAUUAGAGAGUAAAACAGGAGGUCGGAGAUAGAGAGAUCGUUUUAGAAUCUUAUAAGCAACAAGAAUAUUUACAUAUAUUUUUGUGAUUCUUUGAUCAAUAUUUUGAAAGUUCGCGGAUUACUCUUUCACAUAAUACCCUACACCAUCUGUGUUACCAUCAGAGGAAGACGUCUAGUAUAGUUAGUUAAUUUCAAAGGAUGUAAGUUAUAUAAAAUCCCAUGAAAUGCACCUGGCAAUCCGUGAGGCCUAUUGUGCUCUACUUUACUAAUGUCUCUGGUGAUCUGUAUUCAUUAAUAGACUAAUCCUUAUAGAAUUUGGAAGAAUUCUUUAAACACAUAUACCGGUGGAAUUGCUAAUUCGAAAAAAUGCUUCUGGGUCGCAUUCAUUAUAUUAGAGUAGGGUAUAAUUAUAACAAUUCCUUGUUGUUGUUGCUGUUUCUUCAAAUAAGCGAGAAGUUAAGAUAAAAACAAACAAACAUAAACUAAAUAGCAAAAAAAAUUAUAAAAGCAGACACUUUGCAAAAAAUAUAUGGAAAACAAAACAAGAAAAUAACAAUAAAAAUUUAUAACGUAGAUAUUAAACAGUGGUGGAUAAAAUAUAAGAACACUAAUAUAGAUUGUUUUGGAAAACUAGUGAUGUUGUCAUUACUUAUAGAACCCCUUAUCUCGAAUGUUGUUGUUUAAAGUUAUUUGCAAAUUUAUUCUUUGGCAACAAUUAGCGACUUAGCGAUUAGAGCAAGACAUGUUAAUACUCGCAUGGAAUACACAAUGCUAUGUCUGGUUGGCAGAGAUACAAGGCGAAACGGCUCACAUCGGUUUGCAAACAGCGCCACCCCCGACUUCUUUUAGCUAAAAAGCUAAGCCGGCUUAAACGUAACCGCUGAUAAAGAUUGGAAUUGCACAUGCAUUUCGGAAAAAAAUUUCACCGACAAUUUAGCUGCCGCCGAUAACAACAGAUACUCCACAGAGGAGUGACUGUGGGGUAUCUGUUGUUACCGGCUGUUGGAAAUGAGUUGGUGAUAAAUAACAGUUGCCGACUCAACAGAGGUCAUCCCAUCUGCAUGGUUAUAAAUGGAAUUGAUUUCUUUGAAUUUCGGAAGCUAAACAAUGGGGCGACAAUGGUCAAGGAUUGGAUAGCUCAAGUACUUGAGCAAAAUGCACGUAUAGUGGAACGGAAAUUCCAUAUGCUGAAGUUGCCUUCGGCAUGUAAGAAGCACAAUUGGGCGACACAGAAGCUCAGCUUAAAAUAAGACCCACACGGCAGGUGUUCACUUAAAGCACUUCGAUAUAUAUUCAUUAAGUCUGCACGUGCUCCCAAAGUAACCUGUUCAAUAACCAGCCCAAGACAAAGUCCUAAAGUUUGGCCUACGGUCUACUGGUUUAGUGAUACCAGCUUCUCAGGUUCAACCCUAGGUUAUUCCGAUAGAUUUAAGCUCCUCUUUUCUCCCGGAUUUCAAUCACAUCAAGAUUCUUCAAGGAAAUAUGCCCCGAGGGGCCUGAGAAGUAGGGCUGACUAUGACAAUUUUUCCAUCUUUCUAACAUCAUAUCUUUGCUUCCUCUUUCCAUCCGGAUUCCAAUUACACCAAGAUGGGAAUUCUUCAAGGGAAUAUGCCCUGAGGGGUCUGAGACAAUUUUUCCAUCAUUCUAACAGUAUAUGGAUUCUUUGCCAAAAAGAAAUUCUAAAUUAAAGUGUAUCCCAUAGAGAGCAUUCUGCAUCGAACGUUACAGAUAGUAGUCGCACGGGACAGUGGGCUAAUGCUCGGUUCAAACAAAUCAUUUUGACAAAGGGGAAAGUUCUUUAAAGCAACAUGCCCCGAAUGUCAAGGUAGCAUACCUGCUACCUUGGCAUUUUUCCAACUUCUUUACAUUAUAUGCUCGCACUGGACAAGGACACAUAUUCUGAUGUUUUCGGCCUAUGCCCGCUUUAAACAAAUCGGUUGCAUCCGGUACAUGUAUGUAGGUUUCCUCUAAUGGUCUUAUCAGAUAUCAGCAACUUAACAUGCAGUAGGGUAUAAGAACUUAAGAUUUUGUUUUAUUUGACUAAGUACUAUAAUUUUCUCCACCACUGUCACUAAGUACAAUUACGUAUGAAAACAGCAAUAAGCAAAAAAAAAAUACAAUUUUUAUAAACAAAAUAGGCAGAGGCAAACAACAAACACACCACUCCAAACGUAUAACAACAACAGAAAAACACCUCACUAAACAAGUAUUUUAUUUUUUUGAGCAGACACAACAACAAAAAUAUUAAAACACGAAACCACACAGAGAGAGAGAGAGAGAGAAGAGAUAAUUUGUAACAUUCGGGUCGAGUUAAGAUAAUACCGAAGGUAUGAGAGGAAAUUGAGAGCUAUUUAUUUCCUUAAAAGAGAGUUGUUACGUGCCAAGAGAAUUCCUAUAGAAAAUUUCUUCUAAAAUUUUCUUGGAAUUAUUUAGUAUUGCUCUACCUGUCGUCACGUUAACAACAAACAAUUUGAUAGAGAAACACGUUGGAAUGAAAAGAGAAAAAUUUUUAUUUGUUUUUUUCUUAUUAUUAUAAUUUCUUAAAAAGAAAAUUGUAUAGAAAA